AACGACUCUCGGCAACGGAUAUCUCGGCUCUCGCAUCGAUGAAGAACGUAGCGAAAUGCGAUACUUGGUGUGAAUUGCAGAAUCCCGCGAACCAUCGAGUCUUUGAACGCAAGUUGCGCCCGAAGCCAUCAGGCCGAGGGCACGUCUGGCUGGGCGUCGCACGAUG
rnacentral:rRNA from 1 species